CCAGCCUCCCAAAGAGAACCACCAUAGUUAUCAUAAGUCUUACAAUUUGCUUGCUUCAGCUUUGUUUGGAUUUUUUUUUUUUUUGGCAAGUUCAUGUAAACCAUAUCUCAAGAUUCCACAUAUGAGUAAAACCAUCUAGUAGCUGUCUUUCAUCUCUUAUUUCACUAAGUAUCUUUACCUCCAGUUCCAUCCAUUUUGUCCUAAAGAACACAAUAUUAUCUUUUUUUAAUUACAGAGAAUAUGUAAUUGAUCCACAUGAUAUAUAUUCCAUAACCUAUUAGCCAGUUAUCUAAUGAGGGCAUCUAGACUGCUUCCACUCCUUGACUAUUACAAAUAGUCAAACUAAUGAAUAAUGCAGCUAUGAACAUAGAGGAGCAUAUAUCCCUUCUAAAUACUGCUUGAGUGUCCACUGGAUAAAUGCACAAGAAUGGUACUGCUGGAUCAUAAGAAACAACUCACUGCUUGUCUCAGACAUCAAACACAGUUAAACUAGGCAUUUGCUCAAGUUCUAGACACCAGAGAUUGAAACCCUUGAAGACAAACAGUUAUAUACAGAGAACAGAAAUGAGAGGGAUCCAAGGAAUAAAGUAUUUUCCUUUGGCUGAGAUCCGUGGACAUGACUUUUUGCUGGGCUGGUAAGAAGAGAAACAAGUUAAAGCAAGCAAGCACUGGUCACAUCAGCUGGCAGAGGGUUGGAUUGCCUGGAGUCUUGGGAUUCUUCUAGCUUGAACUCUGAUUCUGUGGUCUGUAAGAAAAUAAAGCCUAGUCUUCAUUUAAAAUAACCAUCCACUUCUUUCUCUGAAGGCUCUGUAAGCUACACCACAUCAAAGGUAAGGAACAGAAAGGAGAAGGAACAGAAAGAAAAAAAAAAAAAAAGGAACAGAAAAGAGAAGCUGAGAAAUCUCUCCCUGUCCAGCAUCAU